rnacentral:lncRNA from 1 species
AGUGCAAUUUAAACCCUACAAGUCAGCCUAUGCUAAGAAUGGCCCUGCAGAAACAGAUGCUGAAAAAGAAGAUAAUUUGAAAAAGUAUUACUGUGAUGUGUGUCAAAAACAGCUAAAUGGACCUCAGCCUUUCAUAGCCCACAUGAAUAGUAAAGCUCACAAAGAGGAGGUUGAAGCCCAACAAGAUUAGACAAUUCAGACAAUGUUUUUUUUUUAGAAUAUGAACAUUUUCCUCCAGGAUAGGAGUUUGUUAAGACUAUUGGCAGGGAUGUCUUAUUAGAUAUUAUGAUCUUCGAGAACAAUUAAUUUUAGCUUUUUCUUAUUUUUGCAAUUUUAAAAGUUCAUUUUGUACAUGUAUAAGUUAGCUUUUGCUGUAUGUAUUGAAAUGUGUUUUUCCCAUACAUAUAUAAUCUGUAGAUAUUGUUCACAAACACUAAGACAGAAUUGUUUAUUUGUAUAUAUAUGUGAAGUUUGGAUGUAUUGACUUUUCAUAAAAAGAACAAGAUAUGGUGCCUUGCUUUUUUCUACAAACAGGUUCAUUAACUGUAACUAUUUUAUUUAAACAAGACCUUAGAAAACGAACUGGUACUUUUAAAAUUUGAACCACUGUUAUUCAUUAUUAUUUGAAAAUGAUCAAACAGUUUAAAAAUGGAACAAACAUUUGAAUAAAUUUAACUUAAAAAAACUAUAGGUAG